rnacentral:lncRNA from 10 species
CAUAAGAUGGGGACGUUAAGCAUGCAGCAACUACAGUCAUUUGUUCUCAGAGGUCUGGACCAAAGAGAAACAAGAAAAGCUGGAGUCACACUACCAAAGGCCGAAGCUGAGCAACAGAGCUCUGGAGUCAGCUGCCUGGGUUCAGCAUGCAGCGCUGCCGUGGACGAUCUGUCUCUCUUGCAUAUAUGACUUACCAGUUUUACUUUCAGUCUCUCCAUUUCUAAUUAAAUGAGAUGCAGAAAU